AGAAGAGUUUCAUCUCUGUCUCCUCUUACUUUCUACUAGUUUAACUAGUUAUUCAGCACUUGAUACAGUUUCAGGUGUUGCUAAAAUUGCCUUCAGCACCCGUAUGUAAAUUACUUCUGAUUUAGCAUUUCACCAAUCCAGCAAUUUUUAACAAGAGGUCAGCACUGUUGCCUCUCAGCAAGAAGAGUACUGCACUGGCAGCCUAUUGAAUGUUAUAAAUACAGAUAAUAUUACUGUUAAUGUUAUUUGUGAUAGAAUAACAUCAAUCUAUAAUCCCGUUUGAUUGUGAAAUUACUGGAGGUGGAAAGGCUGGGCCUAUUAAUUAUACUGGAGUGGGAUAGAAACUGAUGCCUUGUUCUUGCUUUCUUGUCAUGUUUUUUCCUCAUAAAUAAGCUUUUCAGUGUCACCUUCAGGUGAUGGAAACUUUUGAUAAGGUUUGUGAAUAACUGGUGGCUGUGCUGUUAAAAACAAUAUAACAGAGGCGUCCAUGUAGGAAGCAAAUAGCUAAUCAUGCAUCUCUUUGAGCUGAAGCUGACGGCUGGUAGCAGUCAUUCCAGGCUCUGGUUGCCUAGGUAACCCCCUAAUGCAUUUGCGACCCUGUCAUAUCUCAGUCAAAGGGUGCCUGUGCUCUCAUUGGCAGUAGUUUCAGUCAACUCUGGGCCCGCCCACUUCAAGUCGCCAGCAGUUAUUUUUGCCUGCAUUCAGUGGAAGUUGCUGAAUGUCUUUGACUUUAGUGUGUGUGCAGCUUCUAACAGGCUUCACAAUUACUUGCAUGUGGGUGGGGUGGUGGCCACCCCUGACCUCUCUGUGGUUCAGUCCCUGUAUGUAACAAAAAUAAGUAGAGCUCCACAGCUGGACAACACAGCUGGGCUCGAUCAUAUCUCUACUAUAAGAUAACUAUAAUUCUUAUGAUACAUUUACUUAUUUUCAUGUUUUUAAAAAACAAUGCAUCCUGCUUCUCUGAUGUUAUUUCAUUCUCAGAGGAGAAAAGCUUUGGUUAACAUGCCGUGAUGCCCGCUCAAUCAUCCAGGUACGGAAAAUUCCAGGUUGAUUCCGUUCAUUCUGUACGCGUUUUCAGUGGAAGAAACGUGUCAUCACUAACCCAGGUUCCUUCUUCAGUCUCAGCUGACUGCAGGUUUAUCCAGCUCAUUAUGCAGUAGAGUUGCAUGAUGAACAAAACUAGAACCACUGAACAACUAGAACAAUGAGGAGUGGGCUCUGUUUUUUUGAUCAUCAGAGAACGUCAUUCCUUUUUCCCAUAAAUGACUCCCUGCUUAAACCAGCAUUCCUUCCCUGUCCAGGAUCAGCUUAACAGUUAAAGUUAAGAAUCAGUUGGCGGUUUCCCAUCCAUUACUGCAUCAGUAGCAGUUAAAGCUUUGUGAUGCUUUCGGUGCACCCACAUUCAUGAGCCAACUGCACCUCAGGCUGCUGUAGGUGGCAAGCAGAGCAUGCAGAGGUUUAAAGUAAAAGAGGACCUCACAGGAGUUCGAGUGUUUGUUUACCCUCUUGCUAUCAUGAUAAACACUGCUAACAUGGCUACUGUUUCAUCCGCGUGCAGAGACUUGUCUUUCCACCGCAACUAAUGCAGAGUGUGUCAGAGGGCGCAUUGGUAGGUUAGGUUAAGCUGUCAGACAAUAAUAAAACAAGAAAAUCAAAACAUCAUGUGACCGCUUGACUGCACCUUUAACGUCAGCGAUGACUCCGUGAUUACGGGACUCGGUGAAUCUUCUGGUUUUUCCAACAUCAGCGUUAACGACACGAAGAUUUAGUCCAAUUAACGUAAAUCGGACUCAAUCCUCUAAACACAAAGUUGCUAAGGCUGCUUUGAACCAGCACCUCUGAGGUGGAGAAAACUUUGAGCCAGUGCUUUUUGAGUGUGUGUGUGUGUGACGGAUCAGAAAGACUGGGGCUUUCCGGUGAGCAGUACUCCACUGUUGCCAUUUACGGCCAGAAUGGUGCCCAUGUGUAUCAGAGGGCCGCCACAUCACAGCCACCCUCCUGCCCAAGUCUUUGUGAUCUUCGCCGCAGCGUGCGAGCUUGCCUGUGUUUCUGCACGCGCUUUUUCCUUCCUCUGAAUCCCCCUUCCCCACCACCACCCCCCUUAACCACAUAGAUGACAGGACAAGCGGGAAGAGGGAUGAUUAUUUCAUAUGGAGCAGGAGGGGAAUCCCACAUCCUGCAAUUUUAUCUUCUUGUCUCUCUGAGGGACCUCAGAAAAAUAUGAUAAGACCACUACAAACAAAAAGAAAAGAGAAAAAAAACCAAGGGGGGCCAAGAAGCCAUAAGUGACAACACUGCUUCUUUGACACCGGGCACAUGCGGCUAAAUGUGAAGGAUGAAAGCGAAAAAAAGCUGAUAAACUGUUGAUCAGACUACGGCACACUUGUGCACACUUCCUUUACUCUAGACUGUAUGUCAAAAGUCACUUCCUAGAGUUGAGUCACUCAUUUAGGAUGACAGCUGCUGGUAGACCGCUGCGACCGCGUCCACUGCCCUUUCUUUUGCAUCGCCAAAUCUCUUGCUAUCGCUCUUCCUCAGCACUGCAGUUCCUCUGCGCACACUCCUCGGUUAAAGCAGGCGUGACGCACAUCAUUGACAAUUUCAAAAGCUUCUGUGCAAGUAGUAGCUGCGCAGCGAUCUCUCCACUUAAUUCAUCCAGGACAUUUAUGUGUACAGUGAAUAUGUCUCUUGGAAACAGCCCCGGAGGAGCAGGGCUUUUGUAUCCCACAUCACUGAUGGAAAUGAUUAAGUAUAUUGGAGUGUAAUUCCACCCCCCUUGGUCUGGCUCUUAAAAUAGUGGAAUAGAGGGGAGGGCGGCUGGCCUGCGCACAUGUUUGAAUUCCUCUGAUUGGAGCAGAGAAGCAAUUUCUUAUUAGGCUGCUGAUGUUGGCUCGUGACUCCAGCAGCAGGCCUUCCUUGUGGGGGGAGAGAGAAGCAUGGCAUCGUUGACUCAAGAGGCCCCUCGGUUUAAAACCCUCUUUGCUACUUGUGCUGCCAGUCUGUGGUUUCUCAGACUGAUUUCAAAAGCAUUCCUUGCUCUGAAAUUUAAACAUAAACAUGUGAAAAUAUGCCUGCAAACUCAUAUCACACAACAAAAGAGGCGCUAACUUCAAGCUCUAUGUUUUGAUCGGCUCAGCGGCUCUGAAGUUUAAUUUUACGCUUCGAGUUUAUAUAAAGUAUACAACAAUGCUGCAACUAGUGUGAUAUUUAUCAUGCUAAUAAGCCACACAUGUCUGGAACACUGCAGCACCCCCGGAUGUUGUUUUCCCUGAAGGCUGGCAGGAAAUGAUGCAUGAACAGGUGAAACACUUUAAGAGAAGCAGGGGUUACGCACAGAACAUAUACAUCAACACACUAUGACUUCCAGCCCUGUAAUUAGGACUUCUGCAGGAAGACGAGGUGUUAAAGCAAAAACGACAGAAAAGGCUAUAAUAAAAACAAAUGCUUCUCUGCCAUUUUUGACUGUGGAAGCUGCUAACAAACAGAGAUGCAGAGAGCUUUUCAACACGAGAAACUAAUCUGUCCCGCUGAGGUUAACCAGACAAGACAAAAUUGGCCAUAACCACACUGCAAAUGUUAAAACUCUUAUUUUUUCACUUCCAAGCAAAUAAGACCGAAUUGAGAACUGAGUGAAGGUGCAGAAAACCUAAAAAACUAUAUCUAAUACCUUUAAAAAAUUAAAAAUGACAAAAAAUCCCACCAGCAGAUAAAACUAGAUCAUCACAGGGCUCUGAGUUUUUGAUGCUGCCUCUAAUACUACGUUUCAGCAGAUCCACAUAACCUCAAAAGCUGUUUGUUUCUGAAGUGGCCUGGAUCUGCCCUUGAGAUCCACGAAGAUGAGCAAUAAUUCUCGCAACCCUGUUCUUACCAAGACUGUGUCACCGAUUUCAAAAGACUUGACCUCUGUUGCAACUAUAAAGUAACGGCAGCUUACAUUCUAUAACUUCCGAUCAGAGGAUACAGCUGCUGCUGAAAUAAGGCGCAUCCUGAUUAUUUACAGCAUCACGUGACAGGAGGAUAAAUAAACUGCAGAAAGGCUUGUCAACAUAAUGCAAAAAAAAAAAAAAAAGCACACCAACUACCAUGUCAUCUGAUUUAAGAGUCCUGUGAUGAUCUUUGGGGCCCCGCGGCUGUGAAUUGUCAGACUAGCUGCAUGUCACAAGUUCAAGACCAGCUAUGCUUCAUAAACUACCCCGAGAGAGACCAAAUCGGUUGCACUGUCAUUAGGAUUUAAUCACAUGCUUCAACAGCAAACAAGUGACUGCCUUUGACUGAGGUCACACUCCAAAUUGGUAACUCUUAAAUUUGCCAGGAAAAUAAUAGUAAGAACUAUCUUUUGCUGCAUGCACACACAUUAAAAAAAAUAACUGAGUCCAACAGAUGUGCUCAUAGAUAAGGGGGAAAAUGACUCAUUAACUGAAACUAAUAACGCAUGAAACGGCGUUAUCUGAUGUGAUUCAUAUGUUUUUUAACUAAUGAAAAAUCCUCACAAGUUCAUUAGUGCAUGGGAGUGCAUCUUGUAUUGCAUCAGUUGAAGUCCUCUUUAGCCAAAACUUUUAACUUUAUUAGACUUUUUUAAAAUGAUUUUGCUUAACCAAAUAAAUGUAUUUGGACAGAAGGGUUGUGUAAAUGCUGGCUGCCAUCAGGGUUUUCUUUAUCCUCACGCCACGUGCAUAUUUGAAUAACGGGUAAAGUUUUCAUCAACUGUGAAAAGAGAAACAGAAUGCAAAUCCAGAUUUGAGCCAAGUAUCUGUAAUUAAAGUUAGAGCUGUCAAACACAGUUUCAGAAAUGGGUGAUGAACUCAAUUUGACCAGGUGCACUUUUGGAGGGAUGGUCUGAUGAGAAUGUAACACCAAGUGUGUCUGGCCUCUGUGCUGAGCAGCACCGCUGCCAAACUUGAAUUACAAUUAAACUGAGUCCAGAGUUGACCCCCCCUCCCCCCCCUCGAGUUCAGAAUAAGCUCGCCGCUGUGUGACAGAUGUUUUUGAUAGCUUUCUUUUGCAAACCGCAGCCUUAACGUACCCCAGAUGAACACCUCUCCCCCACUCUCUUCUCCAACAUAUUGCAAAUCCCACCUCCAAAACUGCUAACUUUAAAAAAACUCAUGGAUUUCGCUCACACUAUGUGAGCACACUAUGUAUGUAUGUACACUAGGAUUUGCUCCCAGCUCUGGAUGAGCACCAGUCUGCCUGCAGUCUUCGCCCUGCCAACGGCUGAUCCCAGAGAACAGCCGUUAAUCUGAGAGGGAACAUCGAGAACGUCUCCUUUUAAUUAUCAGAAAACUCCAGCCGGGUUGGAUAAUGGAUUCCAAAUGCUGAGCUAAGGCAGAAGUGGGUGAAGCAUUGGAGGAGGUGGCCACGGAUGGAGAAGUGGAUCAGAAGGAAGGGGGGGGACGGGUGACUCCUUCUCAGGUUCUGACCUUUGGCUGGCCCCCCUCCUGCUCGUGUGCUCUGCUACAGAUUGAGACCAGAUUGACUGUGUUAGGCCAGGAGAUGACUGAGUGACAGAGCCCAGCACACAGUCCAGUGCAGCUAUCUUCCUCCCGGGGGAUAUCUUUCAGGCCUGCUGAUACCUUAUCCGCUCCAGAGAUUUCUAACUCAUGCUGAUAUUAUGCAGCGCCAUCAAAAGAAAGUGUAGCAUGAGUAGCAGCGCUGGAACUAGCAAUUCUCUGUGUCCCCUAACUGACAAAAGCUUCCUUCAGGAUCCGCACCCCUUCAGCAUUUAUCUUCAUAGAAAUAGCUGAAUGAAUUAGAAGCAUAAUCUCUUGUGUGCUGUUCCUCCUCGCUAUUCCCAGGACAUGCUGGGGGGUUCGACAAAGACAAAGAGAGAUCUUACGGCCCGAGAGCUUAAAACCAAAGGAAAAAAUAACAGAAUCACACAAAAACAAAACACAAGCUAAUCAUCGUGGCUCCAAACACAUCGCACAUACAUUCGCACGCAUGGACUACAAGACCACCCCUGAGAGCUGACCUGGCCUUGCCCCCAACCGCUCAGCGCUGGCGUGUGUCCAGAACAAACUGGGCCUCUCCGUAGGGAACAGUGGAGGCCUGAGGCCGCGCUGCUUAGCAGGCGCCGAGGGGGCGGCAGGCUGCCAGUGGUCAGUCCCUGGCGGAGCUUCUGGGAACCGUGUCACACUCGCACCACCUCACGGCGUCGUUGCCGGGUGAGGAGGUCAAGGAAGAACAGCACUCCUACGACCAAGCAGCUGGAAGCACUGUCAUGGAUGAGCUCAUUUUGGCCGGCGUCCAAACAAGAGGCGAGCCAGACCCCUGAAGUUUGAGCUGUCUCCAUGAAGUCACUCUUCAAGAGCACAGAGCAGCAGCAGCAGGACAACCUCUGAAGACAGGCUCACAAACACAGAGAAUAACUGAGGUUCAUUCAAGGCCAGAACGAUAACAGGAAGAGGAGUUACAUCUGAACUGGAGCGGGGCUGAAACUGCUUGCCUCAAGACCAAGAACCACAUGGAAGGCUGACAUCGGUGAGAUGGAAAGGACUGGCAAAGGGAACCCCCAAAACAACAAAAAAAACCAGCUUCAACAGAUGUGAUCAGAAUAAAGAGCAGAGACAGAGUUAAGAUUUGUGGCACAGCUUCACCAACUUCCAUGUUGCAGGAAGAUGAUAAGAUCUCAAGAAGUUAAAGCUCUAGCAGCACAUGCAGUAUAUAUAACAACUUCACUGCCCUACCAGUGCACUUCAGCUUGCGGCCAGGAACAAUGACCGACUCUAAACCGCAAGAUCAAAGCCCAUCCUUGUUAGUGCGUCAAUGACCAAUGUGCAUGUUGGUCUUUGUGAUUGUCUGUUUUGUAUUUUUUCGGCCCUGUAAUUAUCCUACUUAAAAUGCUGCCUGUAAUAUGUUUUAUGGUUAUGAUGAAGGCCAUAAGCCGAAACUUUUUGGCCAGCCAAUAAAACUGUUGUAUGCACUAAAUGUGUUAAUGGGUCUUUAGCUUCAAUAAAGAGUGAGAGAGCAAA